rnacentral:tRNA from 1 species
AGUCUUAUAGUCAUAUAAAUGAUAUUAAAUUGCAAAUUUAAAGGUAAAAUUAAUUUUUUAAGGCUU